AUUGAACGCUGGCGGCAGGCUUAACACAUGCAAGUCGAGCGGGGUGAUGGUGCUUGCACUAUCACUUAGCGGCGGACGGGUGAGUAAUGCUUAGGAAUCUGCCUAUUAGUGGGGGACAACAUCUCGAAAGGGAUGCUAAUACCGCAUACGUCCUACGGGAGAAAGCAGGGGAUCACUUGUGACCUUGCGCUAAUAGAUGAGCCUAAGUCGGAUUAGCUAGUUGGUGGGGUAAAGGCCUACCAAGGCGACGAUCUGUAGCGGGUCUGAGAGGAUGAUCCGCCACACGGGGACUGAGACACGGCCCAGACUCCUACGGGAGGCAGCAGUGGGGAAUAUUGGGCAAUGGGGGGAACCCUGAUCCAGCCAUGCCGCGUGUGUGAAGAAGGCCUUAUGGUUGUAAAGCACUUUAAGCGAGGAGGAGGCUCUUUUAGUUAAUACCCAAGAUGAGUGGACGUUACUCGCAGAAUAAGCACCGGCUAACUCUGUGCCAGCCGCCGCCGUAA
rnacentral:rRNA from 1 species